AACGAACGCUGGCGGCAGGCCUAACACAUGCAAGUCGAGCGGUAGAGAGGUGCUUGCAUCUCUUGAGAGCGGCGGACGGGUGAGUAAUGCCUAGGAAUCUGCCUAGUGGUGGGGGAUAACGUUCGGAAACGGACGCUAAUACCGCAUACGUCCUACGGGAGAAAGCGGGGGAUCUUCGGACCUCGCGCCAUUAGAUGAGCCUAGGUCGGAUUAGCUAGUUGGUGAGGUAAUGGCUCACCAAGGCGACGAUCCGUAACUGGUCUGAGAGGAUGAUCAGUCACACUGGAACUGAGACACGGUCCAGACUCCUACGGGAGGCAGCAGUGGGGAAUAUUGGACAAUGGGCGAAAGCCUGAUCCAGCCAUGCCGCGUGUGUGAAGAAGGUCUUCGGAUUGUAAAGCACUUUAAGUUGGGAGGAAGGGUAGUAACCUAAUACGUUGCUACUUUGACGUUACCGACAGAAUAAGCACCGGNUAACUCGUGCCAGCAGCC
rnacentral:rRNA from 1 species